rnacentral:lncRNA from 1 species
AAGAAUUGGCAAGAAAAAGUCAUCGUCUUCGUCUUCGAUUGGGGUUAUGACAAGUCUCACCGGUGAGUAUGGAAUUGGAAGCUUCCAAAAAAUUAUUGCUGCUGAUCAAAACAGAGCUACAAGAUAACAGUUAUAUUUUUUUUUAAUAAAUGCUACUAAUAUUUUAGUAAUUUCUGUUUACAUGAUGCAUAAUAAACGAAACACAUUUUACAAUAUCCUAGGAAUCUAAUAAAGCAAUUCUAUUUCAAAUCACAAAUUUAAUUUUUAAAGAAAUCAGGUAAUAUUUCUAGACUUUAACAAUCUUUAUAAAGAAAUAAGAAAAUUAUAAUUUUUCAUAUCUGUUUUACAAGAUUUCAUCUAUGACACACUUCACGUUGUUUGAAAGGCAUGUAUAACCAAUUAAAUUAAAUUAAAAUACACAAUGGUCUGUCUUUUUGUUUUGGAUUUUCCUUCUCUAAGGAAAAAAAUAAAAAUCAUGGGCUAUUCAUACAAAUUUAUUAGGAAUUAUUUCUUGUAUUUAAUUUAAAUUGUAUUUUUUUAAAAAAAAAUUUGGGAGUCAGUGGAAUCACUUAAUAAAUUCUUAUGUCUGAUUUGAAAGGAAAAGGGGGAAUCCCUAUAUCAGAUGGUGGAAAAAAGAUGUACAAAAGGAGCAUCCAGGUAUCAAUAUAUGGUGUGAUUAAUUAUUUGUACAGCAAUUAAAUUUCUUUUUUUAAAAUGAAAGUAGUUUAACAAUUAUGAUUUGGAAUACACAGAAAGCGAAAGAAACUACUACACUUAAGAGAAGGAAAACAGUAAUGAGAAAUAAGAUAGAGCAGAAGAAGUUGAUGAGGGAGUCACUGAAGACAACUAAAAGAGAUGCCGCAGAGGGUAAGUCAAGGUAUAGGUUGUUGAAGAUGAUGAGGAAUGAGCUUAGGGAUGAGGUGAAUGGAGUUAUCAACGACUUUGUGAGAUUGCGGGCAUUGGAGACAUUGGUGAUGCAGGAGCUGGGUUUCUUUUGAAACUCCACACUUCUAUCAAAUGCCUUGUUUAAAUUAGAAAUGCAAAUCCACAUUAUAUAUACUCUUACUUAUCAAAAAAAGAACGAUUUUGGGUCUGAGAAAAUUAGAAAGAUGGAUACCAAGACAGUAUUUUUCUUAACUUAUUAUCUUUGCUAUAAACCGCUUUAUUCUUUAAGUCAGUUGCUGUCAAACUUCACCCUUCAAACCCAUACCAGAGGUAGAGAAAAACUAAUUAUUUGUUCAAAAGUUUGAUUUGUUUCGGCCUUUGAAAUAUUUGUUGUAAUGGCCAAUUUUGGCCCAAGUCAAUAGACCCAAAAUAACAAAAAGAGUUCAAAAAAUAUAAACAGUCAAUUUACAAAUAACCCAAUUAUUAAAAAAGCCCAAACCAAAAUCCUGUUAGCCCAUUACCUAAACUAACCCUAAUAGCCCAACUACCCAAAAUGUUUCAGCAACCCUAACCCCUACCUUGUCUGCCGCCACUCUUCACCAAAUGGCCACAGCAUACACCACCAAUCGCAGGCCUCACGCGCAUCUGACACCACCUGCAAGCACGCAAGCAACAGACAAACAAACAACAAGCAAAAAAACAAAAAGAAGCAGAAAACAAAGAGCAAAAAAAACAAGAAAGAAAAAAUAGAUAAUAGAAGUAGAAUGAGUCGAUCUUCGGCUAUAAAAGGCCACAUUCGACUUCUUUGUUUUUUUACGCAUAUUAGGCAAUCAAAAAGCAAUAUACCAGCAAAAAAGGUUGAUGUCUGGCUUUACUUUUCUUUAUCUUCAUUUUCGUUUUUUUCAUUUCUUUAAUAUUUCAUUUUGAUUUUAACACAAAUCUAUUAAGUAAGAGUAGAUAUAAAACAAGAAAAGAAAAGGAGAGAGGAACCUCACCUGAAUCGUUCGCUGUUGCGUCGCCGGAGGUCUCCCCUCUGUCGUCGGGACUACAAAGGGGUGGGGAUCCAUUUUCCUCGUUUCCUUCUGACUCAAAGAAGGCCAGGCCUUCGAACUCCUCUUGGAACAAGGCCGAGCGACUCAUUUCGGUGUAUCACCGGCCACCAAACUAGGUGGUGGCGCGGUGGUCGCAUGACUGAGCAAAAUGGGGGGGCUUAAAACCCUAGCAGAGGAAUUGAAAUGGGGGGGUGUUUAAAAGUUUUCAAACAGCAGUAAAAGAAUGAAAUCUAAAAAAAAAAAGAGGGAAAUUUUUUAGCUUAAAUGAAAGGAGCAAACAACACCGUUUAGAAAGGGGAGGGGUCCGCAUGUCUCCCUUGAAUGGGAAAUUGCCCACUUUGACCCCUCCCCCUUUUCUGACCCUUGAUUUGAUCCUGAUUUGCGUUUUUAUCCUUUCAAAUAGUGCCCAAUUAUUUUGUUUCAUCG